rnacentral:snRNA from 1 species
AGAUGUGAGGAUGCCCCGGCUGCAACAUCUCACCCCACUGAGCCCCAGGGUUGACUCAGCUGAUCUGGCUGGCUAGGUGGGUCUCAGCUUCCUCCCACACCACUCUAUGUGCAUCCCUCCCCAAGCCACGCUCUGCUGAAGAGGACACCCUUCCCUGAUAGAAGGAGGACCAUCCUUCAGUCAAGGUAAAUGAGUAGCUGCGUUCCCCUAUUUGACCUCCAAACAAGUAUCAAGAAAGCAGUAUCGCCCAUAUAUUUACUACGCUAUGCUCUGUUUGCUUUCGUAUGAUAGCAUGGCAGU